GACGAACGCUGGCGGCGUGCUUAACACAUGCAAGUCGAACGGAAAGGCCCUGCUUUUGUGGGGUGCUCGAGUGGCGAACGGGUGAGUAACACGUGAGUAACCUUCCCUUGACUUUGGGAUAACUUCAGGAAACUGGGGCUAAUACCGGAUAGGAGCUCCUGCUGCAUGGUGGGGGUUGGAAAGUUUCGGCGGUUGGGGAUGGACUCGCGGCUUAUCAGCUUGUUGGUGGGGUAGUGGCUUACCAAGGCUUUGACGGGUAGCCGGCCUGAGAGGGUGACCGGCCACAUUGGGACUGAGAGACGGCCCAGACUCCUACGGGAGGCAGCAGUGGGGAAUAUUGCACAAUGGGCGGAAGCCUGAUGCAGAAACGCCGCGUGCGGGAUGAAGGCCUUCGGGUUGUAAACCGCUUUCGCCUGUGACGAAGCGUGAGUGACGGUAAUGGGUAAAGAAGCACCGGCUAACUACGUG
rnacentral:rRNA from 1 species